rnacentral:tRNA from 1 species
GUUGAUCAUUUAGUCCAUCGUCGCUCUCCGGAGGCGGGAGCGCAGGUUCGAAUCCUGCCGGGAGCACCA